GCUUUAGGAUGGGCAUGCGUCCCAUUAGUUAGUUGGUAAGGUAACGGCUUACCAAGGCAAUGAUGGGUAGCUGGUCUGAGAGGAUGAUAAGCCACACGGGCACUGAGACACGGGCCCGACUCCUACGGGAGGCAGCAGUAAGGAAUAUUGGUCAAUGGGGGAAACCCUGAACCAGCCAUGCCGCGUGAAGGAAGAAGGCCCUCUGGGUCGUAAACUUCUUUUAUGUGAGGAUAAUUGUGUGCUAUAUGCACGCUUGUAGGUAUCACAUGAAUAAGCACCGGCUAACUACGUGCCAGCAGCCGCGGUAAUACGUAGGGUGCAAGCGUUGUCCGGAUUUAUUGGGUUUAAAGGGUGCGCAGGCCGGCCCAUUAAGUUCGUGGUGAAAUCGUCCGGCUUAACCGGAUACCCGCCAUGGAUACUGGUGGGCUUGAGUGUGUCUGAGGGAGUUAGAAUGCGUGGUGUAGCGGUGAAAUGCAUAGAUAUCACGCAGAAUACCAAUUGCGAAGGCAGACUUCUAAGACAUAACUGACGCUGAGGCACGAAAGUAUGGGGAUCAAACAGGAUUAGAUACCCUGGUAGUCCAUACAGUAAACGAUGAU
rnacentral:rRNA from 1 species